AGCGAACAUUGGCGGUAGGCUUAACACAUGCAAGUCGAGCGAGGCGUAAUAGUCGAGCGGCGAACGGGUGAGUAAUACAUGGGAAUCUACCUCGAAGUGGGGGAUAACGUUCAGAAAUGGACGCUAAUACCGCGUAAUCCGGGAACGGGAAAGCGCGCUGCGCUCUGAGAUGAGCCCAUGGCUGAUUAGCUAGUUGGUGGGGUAAAGGCCUACCAAGGCGACGAUCAGUAGCUGGUCUGAGAGGAUGAUCAGCCACACUGGAACUGAGACACGGGCCAGACUCCUACGGGAGGCAGCAGUGGGGAAUCUUGCGCAAUGGGGGCAACCCUGACGCAGCCAUACCGCGUGUGUGAUGAAGGUCUUCGGAUUGUAAAGCACUUUCAGUAGGGACGACGAUGACGGUACCUACAGAAGAAGUCACGGCUAACUUCGUGCCAGCAGCCGCAGUAA
rnacentral:rRNA from 1 species